GGAAACUAUCUCACAUUUUCAAAACAGUAGUGGUGUCAACAAUAAUCGAUUCGGCAAUGCAUCGCAAUGCGGGGCAUGCACGAUUCAGCAUCGAUGCGGCAAAGUGCCAUAAUCGAUUAUGUCACUAAAACCUGCCACACUAAAAUCAAGCACGUUGGCAAUACAACUAACUUCACGAACCAUGUUGAUCG